CUAGUCAGGGCAGUAAUGCACUUUACCAGAUUUAAGUGUGCCGCCUGGGGAGUACGGUCGCAAGANUUAAAACUCAAAGGGGAAUAGACGGGGACCCCGCACAAGCCGGUGGAGCAUGUGGUNUAAUUCGAAGAUACACGAAGAACCCUUACCUGGCCCUGAUAUCCUAAGAGUCCUGCAGAGAUGUGGGAGUGCUAGUUUACUAGAACUUAGAGACAGGUGCUGCACGGCUGUCGUCAGCUCGUGUCGUGAGAUGUUGGGUUAAGUCCCGCAACGAGCGCAACCCUCGUGAUUAGUUGCUAACAGUUCGGCUGAGCACUCUAAUCAGACUGCCUUCGCAAGGAGGAGGAAGGUGAGGACGACGUCAAGUCAUCAUGGCCCUUAUGGCCAGGGCUACACACGUGCUACAAUGGUUAGGACAAAGAGACGCGAUACUGCGAAGUGGAGCAAAUCUUAAAACCUAGUCUCAGUUCGGAUUGGAGUCUGCAACUCGACUCCAUGAAGCUGGAAUCGCUAGUAAUCGUAGAUCAGAUAUGCUACGGUGAAUACGCUCCCGGGUCUUGUACUCACCGCCCGUCACACCAUGGGAGUUGAAUUCACCCGAAGCCGGGAUACUAAACUAGUUACCGACCACGGUGGGUUCAGCGACUGGGGUGAAGUCGUAACAAGGU
rnacentral:rRNA from 1 species